rnacentral:rRNA from 1 species
GACGAACGCUGGCGGCGUGCCUAAUACAUGCAAGUAGAACGCUGAAGAGAGGAGCUUGCUCUUCUUGGAUGAGUUGCGAACGGGUGAGUAACGCGUAGGUAACCUGCCUUGUAGCGGGGGAUAACUAUUGGAAACGAUAGCUAAUACCGCAUAACAAUGGAUGACACAUGUCAUUUAUUUGAAAGGGGCAAUUGCUCCACUACAAGAUGGACCUCCGUUGUAUUAGCUAGUAGGUGAGGUAAUGGCUCACCUAGGCGACGAUACAUAGCCGACCUGAGAGGGUGAUCGGCCACACUGGGACUGGGACACGGCCCAGACUCCUACGGGAGGCAGCAGUAGGGAAUCUUCGGCAAUGGGGGCAACCCUGACCGAGCAACGCCGCGUGAGUGAAGAAGGUUUUCGGAUCGUAAAGCUCGGUUGUAAGUCAAGAAAGGGUGUGAGAGUGGAAAGUCCACACUGUGACGGUAGCUUACCAGAAAGGGACGGCUAACUACGUG